rfam:Rattus norvegicus chromosome 14, whole genome shotgun sequence.
GGGGAUUUAGCUAAGUGGUAGAGCGCUUGCCUAGCAAGUGCAAGGCCCUGGGUUCAGUCCCCA